rnacentral:pre_miRNA from 1 species
UUAUUACUCCCUCCGUCCCAAAAUUCUUGUCUUAGAUUUGUCUAAAUACGGAUGUAUCAAGUCACGUUUUAGUAUUAGGUACAUCCGUAUCUAGACAAAUCUAAGACAAGAAUUUUGAGACGGAGGGAGUAGUUA